CCAGUGUAGCGGUGAAAUGCGUAGAUAUUGGGAAGAACACCAGUGGCGAAGGCGCUCUACUGGGCCGUAACUGACGCUGAGGGACGAAAGCUAGGGGAGCGAAAGGGAUUAGAUACCCCUGUAGUCCUAGCUGUAAACGAUGGAUACUAGGUGUUGGACGUAUCGACCCGUUCAGUACCGCAGCCAACGCGAUAAGUAUCCCGCCUGGGGAGUACGCACGCAAGUGUGAAACUCAAAGGAAUUGACGGGGGCCCGCACAAGCGGUGGAGUAUGUGGUUUAAUUCGAUGCAACGCGAAGAACCUUACCAGGGCUUGACAUCCCGCGAACCUUGAUGAAAGUCGAGGGUGCCUUCGGGAGCGCGGAGACAGGUGGUGCAUGGCUGUCGUCAGCUCGUGUCGUGAGAUGUUGGGUUAAGUCCCGCAACGAGCGCAACCCACGUCCUUAGUUGCCAUCAUUAAGUUGGGCACUCUGGGGAGACUGCCGGGGACAACUCGGAGGAAGGUGUGGAUGACGUCAAGUCAUCAUGCCCCUUACGUUCUGGGCUACACACGUACUACAAUGCUUCGGACAAAGGGCAGCCAACUAGCGAUAGUGAGCUAAUCCCAUAAACCGAGGCACAGUUCAGAUUGCAGGCUGCAACUCGCCUGCAUGAAGGAGGAAUCGCUAGUAAUCGCCGGUCAGCAUACGGCGGUGAAUACGUUCCCGGGCCUUGCACUCACCGCCCGUC
rnacentral:rRNA from 1 species